AUUGAACGCUAGCGGGAUGCCUUACACAUGCAAGUCGAACGCAGUGGCGAACGGGUGAUUAAUGUCGCGGUACGUGCCCAUUAGCGGGGGAUAACUACGCGAAAGCGUAGCUAAUACCGCAUACUAGUGACGCGGUUGAUAUCGGAUUAGCUAGUUGGUGGGGUAACGGCUAACCAAGGCGACGAUCCGUAGCUGGUUUGAGAGGACGACCAGCCACACUGGGACUAAGACACGGCCCAGACCCCUACGGGAGGCAGCAGUGGGGAAUUUUGGACAAUGGGGGAAACCCUGAUCCAGCCAGCCCGCGUGUGCGAUGAAGGCCUUCGGGUUGUAAAGCACUUUUGGCAGGAAAGCGGUACCUGCAGAAUAAGCACCGGCUAACUACGUGCCAGCAGCCGCGGUAAUUC
rnacentral:rRNA from 1 species